ACUUUUAAAGGAUAACAGAUAACCGAUGGUCUUAGGAACCAGAACUCUUGGUGCAAUUCCAGGUAGAAGUU
rnacentral:tRNA from 1 species